rnacentral:misc_RNA from 1 species
GAUGAAGAACGUAGCGAAAUGCGAUAAGUAAUGUGAAUUGCAGAAUUCAGUGAAUCAUCGAAUCUUUGAACGCACAUUGCGCCCGCCAGCAUUCUGGCGGGCAUGCCUGUUCGAGCGUCAUUUCAACCCUCGAGCCCCCCCCGGGGGCCUCGGUGUUGGGGGACGGCACACCAGCCGCCCCCGAAAUGCAGUGGCGACCCCGCCGCAGCCUCCCCUGCGUAGUAGCACACACCUCGCACCGGAGCGCGGAGGCGGUCACGCCGUAAAACGCCCAACUUUCUUAGAGUUGACCUCGGAUCAGGUAGGAAUACCCGCUGAACUUAAGCAUAUCAAUGAGCGGAGGA